CCCAAUUCUGCUAUCUUUUCAGUUGAAGUCAAGCAGGGAUUCAGAAUUGGAUGUAUAUGUUUGAGAGAGAGUGUGUUCUGGAUUUGGAAGAAAAUUUUCAACUGUAAAUAUUCUUGCAAUGCUACUCCAGUAAAUGUCUUUCCUCAAAGCCAACUGUCCUGUGGUUAUCUCCUGGAAGGAUUGAUUUCUCUUGUGAAGGCAAGGCCCAGUUAGACACCUCAAUGAACCCUGUAGUACCCAGUGAGACCAGGGGACCUCUGGAGCUCAGGAGUUCUAAGCCACAGUGGGGUAUGUACCUACUUUGAUAUUAUUAUGGAAAGCUCCUAGGAGUGAUGGAACAUCA